UGGUCCUAGCCUUGAAAUCAAUUUUUACUUAACUUACACAUGCAAGUAUCAGCAUCCCCGUGAAAACGCCCUUUUAACCCCAAUAGGGAUAAGGAGCUGGUAUCAGGCCCAAUUUUAGCCCAAGACACCUAGCUACGCCACACCCACAAGGGAACUCAGCAGUGAUUAACAUUGACAAUAAGCGCAAGCUUGACUCAGUUAAAGUAAAAUAGAGCCGGCAAAUUCCAGUGCCAGCCGCCGCGGCUACACCACGAGGCUCAAAUUGAACUCUAACGGCGUAAAGCGUGAUUAAAGCUAACUUAGACUGUAGUUAAACAAAAGCUAAGCUGUAAUACGCUUGCUUCAUCGAAAAUCAAAAACGAAAGUUACUACAACACACCCAACUUGAACUCACGACAGUUAGGAAACAAACUGGGAUUAGAUACCCCACUAUGCCUAACCGUAAACCUUAACUUACACCCAAAUCGCCAGGGAACUACGAGCAAAGCUUAAAACCCAAAGGACUUGACGGUACCCCACAUCCACCUAGAGGAGCCUGUCCUAUAAUCGAUAAUCCCCGUUUAACCUCACCACUCUUAGCCUAUCAGCCUGUAUACCUCCGUCGUCAGCUUACCUCGUGAGCGAUUCUCAGUGAGCUUGAUGCCCACUCGGCUAAACGUCAGGUCAAGGUGCAGCUUACGGAGUGGGAAGAGAUGGGCUACACUUUCUAACUUAGAAAACACGAAAGACUAUUUAUGAAAUCUAGUCAGAAGGCGGAUUUAGUAGUAAAAAGAGACAAUAAUGCUCUUUUUAACUUGGCACUGGGGUGUGUACACACCGCCCGUCACCCUCUUCAAACCCAAUAUAUUAGUAUUUAACCAAUUAAGGAAAAAUAGAAGAGGCAAGUCGUAACAUGGUAAGUAUACCGGAAGGUGUGCUUGGAAA
rnacentral:ncRNA from 1 species